AGAGCGAACGCUGGCGGCAGGCCUAACACAUGCAAGUCGAGCGCCCGUAGCAAUACGGGAGCGGCAGACGGGAUAGUAACACGUGGGAACGCGCCCUUCGGUUCGGAAUAACUCAGGGAAACUUGAGCUAAUACCGGAUACGCCCUUACGGGGAAAGAUUUAUUGCCGAAGGAACGGCCCGCGUCCGAUUAGCUAGUUGGUGAGGUAAUGGCUCACCAAGGCGACGAUCGGUAGCUGGUCUGAGAGGAUGACCAGCAUCACUGGGACUGAGACACGGCCCAGACUCCUACGGGAGGCAGCAGUGGGGAAUAUUGGACAAUGGGCGCAAGCCUGAUCCAGCCAUGCCGCGUGGAUGAUGAAGGCCUUAGGGUUGUAAAGUCCGUUUUAACGGGGAAGUAUAAUGACGGUACCCGUAGAACUAAGCCCGGCUAACUUCGUGCCAGCAGCCGC
rnacentral:rRNA from 1 species